UUACAUCAUCAACAUAUCUGGUAUCUUUCAAGUACACCACAACGAGAGCCAGCAUCGUAUGCGCAGCCACAACCAACAGUCCUUGGUGCGCCCUGGAAAAUCCAGUAAUAACACAACAAGACUGAAGAAACAUUAGUGAAAGAGUAAAAAACUUGUAAGGAGUCCUGUUUAUAAAGAUAUGCGUACUCUGUAGUCCAGAAACCAGCGCCGGCAGAAGAAGACCUAACCACACCCACACUAACAUGACUCGGCAGUUCCUUGGCUCCAGGUCUCACAACACCACUUUACCCUUCGACAACUUUAGUCUUUAUGUCAUGUUCUUUAUGUCUGGAAAUUCAGAACUCACAAAAAUAUGUACAACAAAAAUUUUAACAUGUAACGCUGUUUAAGGUACAUGUUUCGACUAUUUUGUUUACCAAAGCCGUGUAGUUAUUUAUUUUGACAGAUUUUAUUUUGAAUAAGUCACUACUAGAUUUCUCAUUACAGAUUUAUUUUAAUGGAUAACGAAAUAACUGGUCAAGGUUCGAUGUUUGGGUUCCGUAGGUAUCAUUAUAGAUAUUUAUGUUAACAUUUAUACAUAUGGUGAGAGUGAUUUGAAAUCGGAGCUACCUAUGCAGAAACAAUUUUAAUUGGUAUCUAGACGAAACCUUAUACUGAAGAAAAAGUAUUUUUGGAGAUAUUUUUUAAAAUUUGCUUUUGUUUUAAAACAUUAUGUUCCGAACAAAAGCAUUUUUGUAUGAUUCUGUGAAGUUGUGACUAUUAUGUCAACCCCUGCAUGUUUUUAUACAUAAUUAUAUAAGAUUAUAUUAUUACAGCCUGUAUUGUCUUUAAAUGCAUGUAAUAAUUAAACACAUAAGUACUACACUAAUACUCUAACAUGAAUAAUGAACAAGAUGUUAAUGUCGACAUUGUGAAGAGGUUGGUUGAAGAGUCGAAGUGUCAGAGAUCAGUUCUGAGACAUUUUCCAUGCAGGCAAUUUUAAUACUAUUCUGGCUCUUACAUGACAUUCUUGUGAGUAUUGUAAAUUAUUGUAAAUUUCAACAUUUUAGGACAAUUAGUUCAAACAAAUUGAUGAAAAUAUAUACAGAAGCAUGGACGUCAAACAUUUCACAGACGAGAAAUCUAUCUGUCUUAAUUUGUUUCAUUUUUUUCCACUAAUAGACGAGUACCUUCCUUUGUGCGUUAAAUUGUUAAGAAAUCCCUUUCUGGGAUAAAUCCGCCUUAGUACGCGUUUCUUUCUUUAUUUUACUGCUUUCUCUGUAGGUAUGUGUUUUAUUCGUGCAAUAAAGUGUUUGGGAACAAAUUAUACGUUCUUAAAAAUAUUUAUUAAUAUAAGAAAUUUGUUUAUCACUUAAAUAAGAGAGAUAUAUAUAUACGUUUUGAGUCCAGCUCAUAUUUUAUUAAAAUAUAAAAUAAAAAUACAAUAAUUUCAUUUAAAUAAAUGAAAUGUAAGUUUCAUCAGAAGUUGUAUUCAUUAGUCAAUAUUUCGGGUUUUAUGAUUUCUUGCAGGUAGUCCAUCGGAUGGCAAAUCUUCUCUGGCAGUUACAUCUGCUACUGGAGGCUUUUCUUUCUUUACCCCUGAAAUUGUAAUAGUUUUGAUCACAUUUUAAAGGUAUGCAACUAAAGUGUUACAAUGUACCUACUUUGCAGCUAUUAUGUCAGCAAUUUAUGAUUUUUUGAAAACACAAACUGAAACAUUGAGCUGUAUAAAGUGGACUACGUGUGUAUAUCAACCCCGUAAGGGAUAAAUAUAUAGUACAUUUGUAUCUGUAUAUUUUUUCAAAAAAAUAAGUUGUAAUAAUAGAAAUACAAAAUAGUCAAACAAUUGUUAAAUAAUUCAGAACCCACCUCCACCCAGCAUCAUUUUGACCAGCACGGAGCAGGGAGCGUCGACCAAUAGACAGGCGAAGAAGGACACGAUGAAAGUCAAUGUCGCAUAUGCCAAAAAUUUGAACGU